GACGAACGCUGGCGGCGUGCUUAACACAUGCAAGUCGAACGGAAAGGCCCUGCUUUUGUGGGGUGCUCGAGUGGCGAACGGGUGAGUAACACGUGAGUAACCUGCCCUUGUCUUUGGGAUAACUUCAGGAAACUGGGGCUAAUACCGCAUAGGAUCUCCUGCUGCAUGGUGGGGGAUGGAAAGUUUCGGCGGUUGGGGCUGGACUCGCGGCUUAUCAGCUUGUUGGUGAGGUAGUGGCUUACCAAGGCUUUGACGGAUAGCCGGCGUGAGAGGGUGGCCGGGCACAUUGCGCCUGAGAUACGGCGCAGACGCCUACGGGAGGCAGCAGUGGGGAAUAUUGCACAAUGGGCGGAAGUCUGAUGCAGCAACGCCGCGUGCGGGAUGACGGCCUUCGGGUUGUAAACCGCUUUCGCCUGUGACGAAGAGUGAGUGACGGUAAUGGGUAAAGAAGCACCGGCUAACUACGUG
rnacentral:rRNA from 1 species